UUAAAGCAACGUUAGUUCAACGCCGGCAUUUAACGUUAAAACAACGUAAAACGAUAGUACAGCGCGUCGUUUGUUUUUGCUCUUGUUAUUGGUUAAAAGAUGAAAAUGUAAAGAAUAUAAUAAUGAAAAAACAUAUAAAUUGAAAAAAAAAACUAAUAAAUAAAUUAGAAAAUAUUUAAAAAUUUUUAAAAUAAUAAAGAAAAUACAACUUUGUGUGUGUGUGUGUGUGUGUGAAAAAAGGUUAACGAAAUACAUUUGGAGUAUAAUUUAAAAUAAUUAAAACUACAAAAAAGUUUAAAAACAAAAAUUUUACAAAAUUCUUUAAAAUAUAUAAAAAUUUCUUAAAAAAGUUAUAAUUGUAAAUUUGAAA